UACGAGGGGGGCAAGCGUUGUUCGGAAUUAUUGGGCGUAAAGGGUGCGUAGGUGGUUCGGCAAGUCUUGUGUGAAAUCUUCAGGCUCAACUUGAAGUCUGCACAAGAAACUGCCGGGCUUGAGUAUGGGAGAGGUGAGUGGAAUUUCCGGUGUAGUGGUGAAAUGCGUAGAUAUUCGGAAGGGAACACCUGUGGCGAAAGCGGCUCAC
rnacentral:rRNA from 1 species